rnacentral:rRNA from 1 species
CGGAUGGUCAUGCGCGCAUUAGCUUGUUGGCGGGGUAACGGCCCACCAAGGCGACGAUGCGUAGGGGUUCUGAGAGGAAGGUCCCCCACACUGGUACUGAGACACGGACCAGACUCCUACGGAAGGCAGCAG